rnacentral:rRNA from 1 species
GAAACACGGACCAAGGAGUUCAACUGGAUUGCGAGUCGUAGAGUUUCUCACAAAGCUCGUCGGCGAAGCGAAAGCAAAAUCGUGCGAAGUAAUUUUACCAUUACUGCAGCACAGGCUGAUUACGGAUAUGCAUAGAGCUUGCUGUGUGCAUACUUUUAUCUUCGCGGUAAAAGACUAAUCAAGCUAUAGAGCACUUUAGUUGAGACCCGAAAGAUGGUGAACUAUGCUCGGACAUGGUGAAGCCAGGUGAAAACUUGGUGGAAGCUUGCGUUGUGCGGAACUGACGUGCAAAUCGUUGCCGCCUGACCUGAGUAUAGGGGCGAAAGACUCAUCGAACCAUCUAGUAGCUGGUUCCCUCCGAAGUUUCCCUCAGGAUAGCUCGAAUUUAUUUAUGUACUCUACACGAGUAACACAAGGGUAAAGCAAUGAGACGCGGUAUCUGUGGGUCUUAUUUAAAUGACCUCGGCCUUCUCUCAAACUUUAAAUCUGUGCGAUUACGUGUGCUUUCUUCAAAUGUAUGCUUUUGUCAUGCAGCGAAGCCACGUUUAUUGUAUCAAAAAUUCGUAGUGGGCCAUUUCUGGUAAGCAGAACUGGCGAUGAGGGAUUCAACCUGACGUUCUCAAGAUAAGCCGGGCUUAAUCAUAUCUGCUCCAACCUUCCGAUAAACGCGA